UUAAAUUAUUGGUAGAUUCAAACCUCUGUUUUAACGGUCGUUAACGGACGUUACGGUAUCUAUAAACAACGUUAAAUUAUAACAAGAAAAAUAGACGAAAAAUACUCAAUCUAUUUACUUUUGGA
rnacentral:sRNA from 1 species